UGGGGAAUAUUGCACAAUGGGCGCAAGCCUGAUGCAGCCAUGCCGCGUGUAUGAAGAAGGCCUUCGGGUUGUAAAGUACUUUCAGCGGGGAGGAAGGCGAUAAGGUUAAUAACCUUGUCGAUUGACGUUACCCGCAGAAGAAGCACCGGCUAACUCCGUGCCAGCAGCCGCGGUAAUACGGAGGGUGCAAGCGUUAAUCGGAAUUACUGGGCGUAAAGCGCACGCAGGCGGUCUGUCAAGUCGGAUGUGAAAGCCCCGGGCUCAGCCUGGGAACUGCAUUCGAAACUGGCAGGCUAGAGUCUUGUAGAGGGGGGUAGAAUUCCAGGUGUAGCGGUGAAAUGCGUAGAGAUCUGGAGGAAUACCGGUGGCGAAGGCGGCCCCCUGGACAAAGACUGACGCUCAGGUGCGAAAGCGUGGGGAGCAAACA
rnacentral:rRNA from 1 species